rnacentral:rRNA from 1 species
AGAGUUUGAUCCUGGCUCAGAAUGAACGUUGGCGGCGUGGAUUAGGCAUGCAAGUCGAACGAAUCCCUUGUAGCAAUAUGAGGGGGAAGUGGCGAAAGGGGCAGUAAUGUAUGGGUAACGUACCCGGGGGUCGUGGAUAGCCGUCCUAACGGACGGGUAAUACACGGCGAUUCGGCGGGAGGACAUCCUCUUGUCGGGAAAGAAUUUCGCCUCCGGAGCGGCUCAUAUCGUAUUAGCUAGUUGGUGGGGUAACGGCUCACCAAGGCGAAGAUGCGUAGCGGGUGUGAGAGCACGACCCGCGCCACUGGCACUGAGACACUGGCCAGACACCUACGGGUGGCUGCAGUCGAGGAUCUUCGGCAAUGGGCGCAAGCCUGACCGAGCGACGCCGCGUGGACGAUGAAGGCCUUCGGGUUGUAAAGUCCUGUCGAGGGGGAUCAAGGGCAACUUGAGUGAUCCCUGGAGGAAGCACGGGCUAAGUUCGUGCCAGCAGCCGCGGUAAGACGAACCGUGCAAACGUUAUUCGGAAUCACUGGGCAUAAAGGGCGCGUAGGCGGCUUCAUAAGUCAGGGGUGAAAUCCGGCAGCUUAACUGUCGCAGUGCCUUUGAUACUGUGGAGCUCGAGGGAGGUAGGGGUCUGUGGAACUUCCGGUGGAGCGGUGAAAUGCGUUGAUAUCGGAAGGAACGCCGGUGGCGAAAGCGACGGACUGGAUCUCUUCUGACGCUGAGGCGCGAAAGCCAGGGGAGCAAACGGGAUUAGAUACCCCAGUAGUCC